CGGGGUGCAGCAGGCGCGAAAACUUUACAAUGCUGGCAACAGCGAUAAGGGGACCUCGAGUGCCAGGUUACAAAUCUGGCUGUCGUGAUGCCUAAAAAGCAUUGCAUAGCAAGGGCCGGGCAAGACCGGUGCCAGCCGCCGCGGUAACACCGGCGGCUCGAGUGGUAACCGUUAUUAUUGGGCCUAAAGGGUCUGUAGCCGGCCGGAUAAGUCUCUUGGGAAAUCCAGCAGCUCAACUGUUGGGCUUUCAGGAGAUACUGUCUGGCUCGAGGCCGGGAGAGGUGAGAGGUACUUCAGGGGUAGGGGUGAAAUCUUGUAAUCCUUGAAGGACCACCAGUGGCGAAGGCGUCUCACCAGAACGGACCUGUCGGCAAGGGACGAAAGCUAGGGGCACGAACCGGAUUAGAUACCCGGGUAGUCCUAGCCGUAAACGAUACUCGCUAGGUGUCGGCCACGGUGCGACCGUUGCCGGUGCCGUAGGGAAGCCGUGAAGCGAGCCACCUGGGAAGUACGGCCGCAAGGCUGAAACUUAAAGGAAUUGGCGGGGGA
rnacentral:rRNA from 1 species